rnacentral:rRNA from 1 species
UAGGGAAUCUUCCGCAAUGGACGAAAGUCUGACGGAGCGACGCCGCGUGAGCGAAGAAGGUCUUCGGAUCGUAAAGCUCUGUUGUUAGGGAAGAAGAAGUGCCGUUCGAACAGGGCGGCGCGGUGACGGUACCAUAGGAGGAAGCCCCGGCUAACUACGUGCCAGCAGCCGCGGUAAUACGUAGGGGGCGAGCGUUGUCCGGAAUUAUUGGGCAUAAAGCGCGCGCAGGCGGUUCCUUAAGUCUGAUGUGAAAUCUCGCGGCUCAACCGCGAGCGGCCAUUGGAAACUGGGGAACUUGAGUGCAGGAGAGGGGAGCGGAAUUCCACGUGUAGCGGUGAAAUGCGUAGAGAUGUGGAGGAACACCAGUGGCGAAGGCGGCUCUCUGGCCUGUAACUGACGCUGAGGCGCGAAAGCGUGGGGAGCGAACAGG